ensembl:lncRNA
AAAAGAUUUGGGACCAAGCAAGAACUGUAGCUACAGCAACAAGAGAGGUGCCAACUGGCGACAGAUAAGAGAGACAGACAGAGACACAGGCAGACAGAGACAGGGAAAGGCAAAGAGAGGGAGAGACAGAGAGAUGAGUAGAGGAUGGUGAGUUUGCCACUAGAUAAGACAGACAGAGACACAGGCAGACAGAGACAAAGGGAAGGAGAGAGAGAGAUGAGUAGAGGAUGGUGAGUUUGCCACUAGAUAAGACAGACAGAGACACAGGCAGACAGACAGACAGACAGGCAGGCAGACAGACACAGGCAGGCAGGCAGACACAGGCAGACAGACAGACACAGGCAGACAGACAGACACAGGCAGAGACAGACAGACACAGGCAGAGACAGACAGACACAGGCAGACAGACAGACACAGGCAGACAGACAGACACAGGCAGACAGAGACAAAGGGAGGGAGAGACAGAGAG